rnacentral:rRNA from 1 species
GAUGAACGCUAGCGGCAGGCUUAAUACAUGCAAGUCGUGGGGCAGCAUGAGUGUAGCAAUACAUUUGAUGGCGACCGGCAAACGGGUGCGGAACACGUACACAACCUUCCUAUAAGUGGGGAAUAGCCCAGAGAAAUUUGGAUUAAUACCCCGUAACAUAAUGAUGUGGCAUCACAUUAUUAUUAUAGCUUCGGCGCUUAUUGAUGGGUGUGCGGCUGAUUAGAUAGUUGGCGGGGUAACGGCCCACCAAGUCUACGAUCAGUAGCUGAUGUGAGAGCAUGAUAGGCCACACGGGCACUGAGACACGGGCCCGACUCCUGCGGGAGGCAGCAGUAAGGAAUAUUGGUCAAUGGACGCAAGUCUGAACCAGCCAUGCCGCGUGAAGGAUUAAGGUCCUCUGGAUUGUAAACUUCUUUUAUCUGGGACGAAAAAAGGCGAUUCUUCGUCACUUGACGGUACCAGAUGAAUAAGCACCGGCUAACUCCGUGCCAGCCGCCGCUGUAACAC